rnacentral:rRNA from 1 species
CCUACGGGUGGCUGCAGUGGGGAAUAUUGGACAAUGGGCGCAAGCCUGAUCCAGCCACGCCGCGUGAGUGAUGAAGGCCUUCGGGUCGUAAAGCUCUGUGGGGAGGGACGAACCGCCACCGGUUAAUACCCGGUGGCAUGACGGUACCUCCUUAGCAAGCACCGGCUAACUUCGUGCCAGCAGCCGCGGUAAUACGAAGGGUGCAAACGUUGCCGGGAAUUAUUGGGCGUAAAGCGAGCAAGUGCGAAGUGAACUCCCUCGGCUCAACCAAGGAAGUGCUGUCGAAACUGCUGAGCUUGAGUACUUAAGAGGAUCGCGGAAUUCCCGGUGUAGAGGUGAAAUUCGUAGAUAUCGGGAGGAACACCAGUGGCGAAGGCGGCGAUCUGGGAAGAUACUGACGCUGAGGUGCGAAAGCGUGGGGAGCAAACAGGAUUAGAUACCCCUGUAGUC